rnacentral:rRNA from 1 species
UGGUCCAGCGUGCCAGCAGCCGGAGCAACAUCCGGGUGUUCCCCUACGCGCUGGCCCGCUCCUCGGGCGGCUCUCGGCGGUUCCACCUCGGCCGUGUGUCUUCCUCUGUAGCCAUGGGCAGCCUCUUGGAGC